UCCUGGCUUAGGACGAACGCUGGCGGCACGCUUAACACAUGCAAGUCGAACGGAGACAUUUGGUUACUGAGAUGUCUAGUGGCGGACGGGUGAGUAACACGUGAGCAACCUGCCUUCAAGAGGGGGAUAGCUUCUGGAAACGGAUGGUAAUACCCCAUAACAUAACUGAACCGCAUGAUUUGGUUAUCAAAGAUUUAUCGCUUGAAGAUGGGCUCGCGUCUGAUUAGAUAGUUGGUGAGGUAACGGCUCACCAAGUCGACGAUCAGUAGCCGGACUGAGAGGUUGAACGGCCACAUUGGGACUGAGACACGGCCCAGACUCCUACGGGAGGCAGCAGUGGGGAAUAUUGCACAAUGGGGGAAACCCUGAAUGCAGCGAUGCCGCGUGGAGGAAGAAGGUUUUCGGAUUGUAAACUCCUGUCUUAAAGGACGAUAAUGACGGUACUUUAGGAGGAAGCUCCGGCUAACUACGUGCCAGCCGCUGC
rnacentral:rRNA from 1 species